rnacentral:rRNA from 1 species
GAUAAACGCUGGCGGUGUACAUAAGACAUGCAAGUCGAACGGGAGAAGACAGGAAGAUUUAUCUACUUGUUGGACACCGUGGCGGGCGGGUGAGUAACACGUAAGCAACCUGCCUAUAAGAGGGGAAUAACAGUGAGAAAUUACUGAUAAUACCGCAUAAGCUGGAGGUAUCGCAUGAUACAUUCAGAAAAGAUUUAUCGCUUAUAGAUGGGCUUGCGUCUGAUUAGCUAGUUGGUGAGAUAACAGCUCACCAAGGCGACGAUCAGUAGCCGGAUUGAGAGGUUGAACGGCCACAUUGGGACUGAGACACGGCCCAGACUCCUACGGGAGGCAGCAGUCGGGAAUAUUGCACAAUGGAGGAAACUCUGAUGCAGUGACACCGCGUAUAGGAAGAAGGUCUUAGGAUUGUAA